rnacentral:rRNA from 1 species
UACAGGGGGUGCAAACGUUGCUCGGAAUCAUUGGGCGUAAAGCGCACGUAGGCGGUCUGUUAUGUCGGAUGUGAAAGCCCUUGGCUUAACUGAGGAAGUGCAUUCGAAACUUCUGAGCUGGAGUGCUGGAGAGGAAGGCGGAAUUCUCGGUGUAGAGGUGAAAUUCGUAGAUAUCGAGAGGAACACCGGUGGCGAAGGCGGCCUUCUGGACAGCAACUGACGCUGAGACGCGAAAGCGUGGGGAGCAAACAGG